CACUGUCCACUACAGAGUGACACUCCACGUGAUCGCGCAAACGGAGGCGGAGUGGAGAGGGGGAGUGAGUAGGGAGCGGAUUGAGAUUGCUCCCUGACGGCGCUUCAUGUUUACAUUCCGUUUCUGCUCACCACGCUAGCCUGCAAAAUGAUGACAGCAAAAAGGAGACAGAGUAUGAGUACAGCGGCAGUGAUGAGGAAGGUGAGAACCGAGGCGAUGAGAGAAGUCCAGCUAAUAAUACAGCUCGACAACACAGAACGGACAGAGUUGAGGAUUUAUGCCACUGUUCUUCUUCUGGGACUAAAUGAUUGCACACCUCUAAAUCAUUUAUAAAAGGAUGUGUUGUGUCUGACUGCUGCAUGGUCUACUUUAACUGCACCUAUCAGACUAAGCAACAAACAUCACAAUGGGAAAGUCUGAGGAGCUCUGUGCAGAUCUGAGAAAGUGGACCAUAGGCUUCUGAAGAAGAUGUCCCUAAUUAAUUGGCCACAUCGAAAACAAGUGUUUCAUUUCAUCCCAAAUUUACUGCACCUACUGUAAAGCACCGGUUUGCUCCCAGUGAGUGACAUAUGUGAUACGCCUCUGUGUUGGAGUCCAACAGUGGCUGGUGAUAAGAAGCGUCCCCAGAUGAGGCACAUGCCACAGGGACCGUGUGGUGAUUCGACUUGGUCAGAUCAAGGAUUGUGCAAGCGGCAGCAGAUUCACAAUCAGAAACUGGGGGGUGAAAAUGUAUUUAUUAUUUAGCCACAGAAAAAAGGUCCGCAGGUCUGCUUCACUGUGCUGCCCAAAUCUUUAAAAAUAUAUUUUAUAUUAUAGUAUUUAGCUCUUUUAGGCACUAGAUAUUGUAUUAAAUUGCUUUUUCAGUAAAA